rnacentral:misc_RNA from 1 species
GAAAAAUAUUCAAUAAGUUUGAAUCUCCUGGAUUGUGACAGCAGAGAUAGAUAAGCAGAAUCAUAGUCUCAUUAAAGAAAUACAAAUUAAGCCAAAACAGGGUUAACACAUACUUAAUUAAGGAUCACAUAUGACAAACGCACGAACAAUAAUCUUAUUCUGAAGCUCACAAAGCCCUAGUGAAGAGGAUAACGUAUGAUUUGCUUGUCCUCAUAUAUAUUGACUAACAAUGCUUAGUGCAGAAG